AGUUUCUCCUCUUCCCAAUUACGCGGCGCUCCCCCGACUAUAUAAAGCAAUCUCAUUCAGCAGAUGUGUCGUCUGACACUGAAGUGUCUUCCCAUUUGUUAAGCACGCGUUUAUUACUUUUACUUAAAUUCUUUUCAAAUGGCAGUUAUAAGACCGAUUUUAAGUAGAGUUCAUACGAUAGUAAAUCCCUCUACUUCGCUAGUUCUGAGACAUUAUAAUAAAUCAAGUUCAGUACUUGGAAGGUUUGGUAAGGCUCGGCCGCCGGUUGCUCAAAAGCACUUGUUUCUUAAGGACGAAAAUGCAAGAGACUUCAUAUACACACUAAAGCCGAACGAACGGAAAAUCUUGUUAACGGAGCUUACUAAAUUCGAAGAGGAAAGAUUAAAAACAUUAGAUAUCGAUGGCCCGCCUGCAUUAACAUCUUCACAAAUCCGAAUGUUAUUUAUACACAAUGCUCUUCCAUUUGUUGGCUUUGGAUUCUUGGACAAUGUUUUAAUGAUAGUUGCGGGAGAAUAUAUUGAUGCAACUUUUGGUUCCUUACUUGGUAUCUCUACAAUGGCUGCUGCAGGUCUUGGGAACAUGGUUUCAGAUGUUGCAGGAAUUGGGUCUGCUUGGUAUGUUGAAGUAUUGGCGGUUAGGGUUGGUUUUCACAUGCCCACUUUAACCCCUCAACAAGUGGAUAUGAGAAAAACACGUUGGAUUGCUAACUUGGGCAAAGUGAUUGGCAUUACAGUUGGAUGCUUGAUAGGAAUGUUUCCUCUACUGUUCUUUAACUACGACAAGCAUAAUGAAUCACAAGAAAGUCCAGCAGAACCUGCCGCUGAUACAGAAAAGAGCUAGAUAGAGCAAGAUGGUUAGAAAAUUUUAUCUCUGCUCAGCAUUUAUUUUUUAUUGAGACAAACAACUUGUGAAUUCUUGGGAAUUUCUGAGGGAGGGGGAAUAUACAAGAAAAAAAAAACCCAUAAAAAUAUUAUUAAAUAGAAAGAAAAGAUACUUGUUUCUAUUUUUUAAUGAUGAAGUGGCCUUUUGAGAUGUUUGUGGAAAGUCAUAAAAUUUUAUUUAAUGCCUAAUGAUUUUUAAUUUAUAUACACCAAUCUGUGUUUUGCCUCAGUAAUUUUAAAUACUCAGUUGCUUUUGGUGUGCAUUAUAAAUUAUACUUUAUUUUAAAAUAUCUUGUUUUUACUAGAUUUAAGAGAUCUGAAUUAUAAUUCUUUAAAUUUGUUACAUAUUUUUUUCAAUUUGACACUCUUUUAAAUUUUAGCUUUGUUUAAAUAAUUUCUUACAAUACUUUUGUUGUUAUUUUAUUACAUUAGUAUUGUUGGCAUUAUAUUGUCUAAUUUGUUUGUUUUUAGAAUUCACACUGUUACGUUCUUAUUGUAGUAAAUUUUACUGUAAAAGAAAAUCCAAUUUCUAAUUAAAGAAAUGCUUUCCCUGCCACCCUAAAAAUGUAAUGUUGUGAGUGAUGAUCCAACCAGGUUGGAUCGAUUUCCCAAAAAAUUUCUUAUGCACAUGUGUUACUUAAAAAAUAUCUACCAGUCUGUUUUUUCCUAUCUGUAUGGUUAUGUAUGUGUGUGUAUGCAUGUGUAGACAAUGAACAAUAUGAAAGGAAAUGCAUUACUGAAAGUAUUUUUCUCUUUCAUGAGAUUCCUUACUGCUGGUGACAUACAGUGAUUUGUAUAAAGUAACUAUCUUUCCAAAAUUUGAACUUCCUAAAACCACUCACAAUUAUUUUGCAAAUCAUUGCUAUAAAGUUGACAUUUUUUUUCAUUAAGCAGUGUAAUUGAACCUGCAUUUGUACAGGUGUAUGAGAAAUUCAGAGUAUUGAUAGUGAAGCCUCUGCUUCAAAAAAACAAAACAAAAAAACUUCAUGUUACGUCCGUUUUGCCAUGAUGGUAUGGGUUGGAUGGGUCCUCAGUCUUUUGUCUUCUAGCACAAACAGCAACAGAUAAAACCACUGAGCCUUGUUGUUUUGUAUGUCAUAUUUUUUGGCACGAUUUUUAUGGCUGGAUUUCUUUCCUAUCCCAAAUCACUUUACAACAUGAACGGGUGUAUUUUAUUGUGCCACUGGCACUGGAGGAGUUGUCUGUGGCAGGACUAAAGAGACCCUCUACCCUGUAUCAGUUUUUAUUCAGAAUUAUUAUCUCUUAGAUGGGUUGCCUUCACUGUGGCUUGUGGAGUUCACAUUUCUUUUUUUUAUGGCAUAGUUUUUAUGGCUCAAUUCCCUUCUUAUUGCCAACCACUUUACUGAUGGUCUGGGUGCAUUUUAUUGUGCUGCCAGCACUAGAGGUUGUCUGCAGCAACACUAAGGAGUCCUCUCUAAACUGUAUCAAUUUUUAUUCAGUUACUGCCCCCAAGAUGGGUUUUCUUUGGUGCAGCUUGCAGAUUCUGUAUUGCCUCUAUGCAAUAGGGGUGGAACCUCUUAUUGUAUAAUGUUGGGUUUGUUCAGACUCACACAUACCCACAUACUCAGCUUCCAUAUAUAUAUAUAUAUAUAUAUAUAUAUAUGACACACAAGUACAAAACUUUCUCAUCAGUUAAUAAUGCAUUUAUUACAAAGAUCCAUUACAGCAUGUUAUAAUGCUGAACAGGAAAAAAAGGAAAAGCAAGCUAAAUAGUUGAUCAUGCUGUCAUUUUCUUUACAAUUCCACAAAAUGUUAGAUUAACUGUAGAAGCUUUAUUACUAGCAAAAUAAAAAACAAAAAUUAUCACAAACACCACACAUGAAGUAAACUAAAAGCAAUGAGGAAUUAAUGGUUAAACAGUUUUUAAAUUUGGCAAUGGUGAUUUUAUGAAUUACAUCAUUCUCAUAAUCCCUUGCUGCCUGUUACAAAAUGCAACAACAAUGUGCCAAUAUCAUUUUAUUCAAAAGCUGAAAAAAUUUUGAAAUGUUAAUGAACCAAGAAACAUUCUAAGAUAAAUAUAAAGGAAAAAUAAUGUAACAUUAAAAAAAUAUCUUCAGUAUAAAAGAUUAAACUUGAACACAUUUGUGUCUUCAAUAUGUUUGAAGGAAAAGCUGUUCACAUACACACACACUCUCUCUUUCUUUCUUUCUUUCUUUCUUUCUGUAUCAGAGUAACCAACUGUUUCAUUUAGAUAAAGAGUGGUUGAAAGAACACAAGAAAUACUAUCAAACUGGUGAAAAGGGCUGUACAAUAUAGAUAUCUUUGCACUUAAUUUUUCUCUUAAGUCAUCAUUGUUAAAUCUCCAUUAGUGGACACUUCAAUCAUUUCAGUAAAUAAAUAUAAAGUGCAAAUUAACAUUUUUAUUAACAAGUUUUUUAAAAGAAUUUUUAUUUAAAUUUAUUCAAUGUGAAACAUUUCUUCCUUUUUAUCAAAUUCAAUGUCCUUCAGUGCUUCUUUUUUUUGGAGCUUUUAUUCCACCAUAUGAUUUCAAAAAGUAAAUCAAGAAUGUACUCAAGAUACACAGCAUAGAAAGUCUUAUUUAUUUAUACCUAAUUCACUGCAUUGUCAGUAAGAUUAAUGAGUGACUGUCUUUGCUACUCAAGCAGAACAAAUACUGUAUAUGGUAUAAUUAUUUGAAAGUAUAGAUAUUUUUUUGUUCCUUUGAUGUUUACAUCUUUUAUCCAGUUAUAUUGGUGAGAUAUGUAUAUCAUCAUCAUUGUUUAAUGCCUGCCUUCCAUGUUGGCAUGGGUGCGACAUAUACAUAUAUACUAAAUAAGAAGAAGACAAAGAAAAUUCUUAAACACAUCUUUAAUGAUUUGUUACAAUUGUUUCUGUAUCCACUCGAUUUAUGCAAAAACCCAAAGAGAAAAUUUACGUAAUGUUUGCAGCUUUAAAACUGUGUUAAAGAAUUUUCUUUGUCUUCUUUUUAUCUUUUGAAUUAUUUACUCUUCACCAAAUUCACUUUAUGGUAUGAUCGUUGUGAAACUUGGAUUUUCUACUCCUGAGGAAUUCUGGCAUUGGCCUGAAACCCGACAAUGUUGAUAACCCAGUAUUUGGGUCAAGUGCUUUUCUGGAAAUACCCUAACUUUACACUCUACCAGGACCUUAGACUAUGUAUAUAUAUGUAUGUAUAUUAUCCAAUGACAUCCAACAUGGUUUCCAUCUACUAAAUUCCAUUACAGGGCAUUGGUAAAGCUGUUUUGUGAAAGAUACUUGCUCAAGAUAUCACAUAUUAAGACUGAAACGAGAACCAUGUGAUUGUAAUGCCUGUGUCUUGAUAUUUUGUUUGUAAAUAAUUUAUUAAAGAACAAAAUAUCUCACUUGUUAAGGUUUGUGAAUACAAAUGAAAACCAUAAAUGUGUAGUAGCAAUGGAUGGCCAAAUUACAGAAUUGGUGCAUAUUUUAUAUGUUGGAAUUCCGUUGUGGUUGAUUUUGGUUUUCAAGGUGGCAGAAUUGUUAGCAUGUUGGGCAAAAUGUUUAGCCACAUUUUCUUGAAACUCUAAUAAUUGCUAUUUUUCUUUGUCUUCCUUUGCACUUCAUUUCAUUUGUUUCUUCAACUAUUGCAAGCUUCCUUAUGCUUCUUGCUUAAGGGAAAUAUGCCAUUGGGAAUCUUUAGCUUGUUGUGACCUUCUUAAAAUUGAUACACCAUUCUGCUAACUUCUGAAUUCAAUCUUUUAUACAACACCAUCUGUUCUCAGUUCAUUAAACUAUAGAAACCUCUGACAUAUUGUACUGCUCGACCAUCAGGUAUAUGAAAUUUUAGUCAGCACAGGGUUUCAACAUCAGCCUUGUAUGUUAGGCAACUCAUCCUGUUUUACUUGUUACAACUGUUGAUAUGAUCAUCCAAUAAUGAUGAUUUCUAUUUUCCUGAAACAAACAGAUAAUCUGUUUGAUCAGAUUAUCUAUCCAUUAGAUCUCCAUGUGUCUAGAUUAAUGCAUUUAAUCUGAUAAUGAAUGUUAGAUUAUGACAAAAAGCAUAAUAUUUUUCUGUAAUUUCACUAAACUUUGUGCCAUUCCUUUUCUCAUAUCUACCAUUUCAUGUUUA